rnacentral:lncRNA from 1 species
AGCCAUGGUUGGCCUCUUGAAUUGGAGCUGCAACCCUCGUUUGCUCUCACAAGCAUAUUGUUGUUGUCAUUAUUAAAUAGUCUCUUACUGCAGAGAGGUAGGCUUUAAAAAGGAACCAGUCUCAUAAAAUUGACUUUUCUGUGGUGGAUAUAAAGUCCUAAAUUAGUAGUCUUUAUGCACAGAAAAAUAAGUGCCGCAACAGUGGUGUCAGUGAAAUUCCUCCUCGCAGGAACCUGCGAAUAGCCAAUCUUUACAAGCCAUACAGCAGGACUUCCCUUAGAAGACACCAUUCAGUGCUUCCUUUAGCCUAGGCAGGAUUUUCAAGGUGUUAGGAAAUUACACUAUAACUUUCAACUUUCACUGAGCUGUAUCAGUCAGAUUGCUGACAAUUCAAACUCACUUAAAUAAUAAUGUAACAAAGGGGGUCUAUUGGCUUCUGUAGCUGACAUCCAGAAGAGAAGGCUUCAGCGAUGGUUUGACCCAGCAGCUCAGUGAUGUCACCAACCACGUGGUCUUGUUUUAAUCUCCCUGUUCUGCAUUAUCUUGAGACUGGUUCUUCCUGACACCACAAAGUGGUUUCUGACAGUGCCUUGGGACCAUGAAAGUGAGGGUCUCCUUGUCCAGGUGCCAGAAGCCAGAGCCUGGAGGCGAGUCAGACUGGGCUAGUGUUAGGCCACAUCUCCAGCCCCAAGUGACCAUUGAAGGUGGGGAAGACCAUGUGCAGUGUGACACCCUGGAGCUGUGGCAGCGGCCAGCUUCACCAGGGCACAAAGCUUGGAGCGGGGUUAAAUCUAAGCACUGUUCAUAUAUUCAGGGAAAAUCAAUGUCUCCACCAGGACUAGAAAGAUGUGAAAAUACCUUUGAGCGGAGCUUAUAAAUAAUGUAUUACUUAUCAAUACCUUCCGUCUAAACGGCAGGGCCAAUGACUUGUGGAAAAUCAUGUUGCAAAUUCCAUGGACUAAAUCCAUAAAGCCAGG